AGUUCAUGCAGAAGUUGUUUCUGAGCCAUGCAGAGCAUCAUCUCUCUGUUCUUAUUCUCUACAAAUAAUUGCUCUACACUCACCCUGCACAUGGCUCUGCAACGGGGAGUUGAGAGAGGACUCGAAAGCCAAGCUUGCUUGCCCACGGGUAUACGUGAUCCAGAGCUGAAUCCACCACUCAGAGAAUAAUGUCUUCUGACUCCUGCAGAGCAGCUUUCCUUCCACAGCAGGACCAUUGAGGCAUCAUCCUGAAAAACAUGAAGGAUGUGAAGCAGUCAUUGCUGAAGGACAUGCCAAGAAGUAAAGAGAGAUGCAGCCUGGCAGUCAUCCCACUUCAUGUAUCCAACUCCCUCCAUAGCAAGGUCAGACCAAGAACUAAGAUACGUGGGCUGGAAAGGAGGGUGUCAGCUCUGGAGCCCCUGUAAUGAUGAUGGUAAUGGGGCUGAUUGCAUUUCCGACUCCCAUUUCCCCUUCUAUGUCUCCUAAGCCCUUCAUUUUAACUCAUGUCCGUGUUCUCCAGGAGGCCCAAAGGGAUGAUCCAUAGUGAUCCAAGUCACUAUGCAGGCUCCACCCCCUUGCUGAAGGUUGGAGCCAGCAUGGACAUGGGUCUCAGUUCUGAUCAAUGACACAGGAGCACCCGUCUUCUGGUAGAGCGUCCUCACUGUCAAAAAUAUACCUAUGUAGGGUUGCCAGAUUUAGAACAUAAAAAUGCAGGAUACUAGGUUACAUUGUAAUUUCAGAUAAAUGAAAAAUAAUUUUUUAGUAUAAGUAUAUUCCAUGCAAUAUUUGGAUGCCCCAUGCCACCUUGAGGAGAUAUCUUCCUCCCAUGUUAGCCACACUCUCCAGGUGUUUGUCUAUGAAAUGCUCGGUCCAGGAGCAGAGUCACACACAGCAUUAAAACUUCUCACGUUAAAAGGCUCAGACACUUUGAAUAAUGACAGAUUCAUAUUCACGAAAUAUAUCUACUUGAGUUUCCCUUUUGUUUUGAAGAACUGCUUGGUCCU
rnacentral:lncRNA from 1 species